rnacentral:misc_RNA from 1 species
GGGGACCCCCUUUAGGGGGUCACCUCACACAGCAGUACUUCACUGAGUAUAAGAGGACAUAUGCCUAAAUUACCGCGUGGUCUGCGUUUCGGAGCCGAUAAUGAAAUUCUUAAUGAUUUUCAGGAGCUCUGGUUUCCAGACCUCUUUAUCGAAUCUUCCGACACGCAUCCGUGGUACACACUGAAGGGUCGUGUGUUGAACGCCCACCUUGAUGAUCGUCUACCUAAUGUAGGCGGUCGCCAGGUAAGGCGCACUCCACAUCGCGUCACCGUUCCGAUUGCCUCUUCAGGCCUUCGUCCGGUAACAACCGUUCAGUAUGAUCCCGCAGCACUAUCGUUCUUAUUGAACGCUCGUGUUGACUGGGAUUUCGGUAAUGGCGAUAGUGCGAACCUUGUCAUUAAUGACUUUCUGUUUCGCACCUUUGCACCUAAGGAGUUUGAUUUUUCGAACUCCUUAGUUCCUCGUUAUACUCAGGCCUUCUCCGCGUUUAAUGCCAAGUAUGGCACUAUGAUCGGCGAAGGGCUCGAGACUAUAAAAUAUCUCGGGCUUUUACUGCGCAGACUGCGUGAGGGUUACCGCGCUGUUAAGCGUGGCGAUUUACGUGCUCUUCGUAGGGUUAUCCAGUCCUACCAUAAUGGUAAGUGGAAACCGGCUACUGCUGGUAAUCUCUGGCUUGAAUUUCGUUAUGGCCUUAUGCCUCUCUUUUAUGACAUCAGAGAUGUCAUGUUAGACUGGCAGAACCGUCAUGAUAAGAUUCAACGCCUCCUUCGGUUUUCUGUUGGUCACGGCGAGGAUUACGUUGUCGAAUUCGACAAUCUGUACCCUGCCGUUGCUUACUUUAAACUGAAAGGGGAGAUUACACUCGAACGCCGUCAUCGUCAUGGCAUAUCUUACGCUAACCGCGAAGGAUAUGCUGUUUUCGACAACGGUUCCCUUCGGCCUGUGUCCGAUUGGAAGGAGCUUGCCACUGCAUUCAUCAAUCCGCAUGAAGUUGCUUGGGAGUUAACUCCCUACAGCUUCGUUGUUGAUUGGUUCUUGAAUGUUGGUGACAUACUUGCUCAACAAGGUCAGCUAUAUCAUAAUAUCGAUAUUGUAGACGGCUUUGACAGACGUGACAUCCGGCUCAAAUCUUUCACCAUAAAAGGUGAACGAAAUGGGCGGCCUGUUAACGUUUCUGCUAGCCUGUCUGCUGUCGAUUUAUUUUACAGCCGACUCCAUACGAGCAAUCUUCCGUUCGCUACACUAGAUCUUGAUACCACCUUUAGUUCGUUUAAACACGUUCUUGAUAGUAUCUUUUUAUUAACCCAACGCGUAAAGCGUUGAAACUUUGGGUCAAUUUGAUCAUGGCAAAAUUAGAGACUGUUACUUUAGGUAACAUCGGGAAAGAUGGAAAACAAACUCUGGUCCUCAAUCCGCGUGGGGUAAAUCCCACUAACGGCGUUGCCUCGCUUUCACAAGCGGGUGCAGUUCCUGCGCUGGAGAAGCGUGUUACCGUUUCGGUAUCUCAGCCUUCUCGCAAUCGUAAGAACUACAAGGUCCAGGUUAAGAUCCAGAACCCGACCGCUUGCACUGCAAACGGUUCUUGUGACCCAUCCGUUACUCGCCAGGCAUAUGCUGACGUGACCUUUUCGUUCACGCAGUAUAGUACCGAUGAGGAACGAGCUUUUGUUCGUACAGAGCUUGCUGCUCUGCUCGCUAGUCCUCUGCUGAUCGAUGCUAUUGAUCAGCUGAACCCAGCGUAUUGAACACUGCUCAUUGCCGGUGGUGGCUCAGGGUCAAAACCCGAUCCGGUUAUUCCGGAUCCACCGAUUGAUCCGCCGCCAGGGACAGGUAAGUAUACCUGUCCCUUCGCAAUUUGGUCCCUAGAGGAGGUUUACGAGCCUCCUACUAAGAACCGACCGUGGCCUAUCUAUAAUGCUGUUGAACUCCAGCCUCGCGAAUUUGAUGUUGCCCUCAAAGAUCUUUUGGGCAAUACAAAGUGGCGUGAUUGGGAUUCUCGGCUUAGUUAUACCACGUUCCGCGGUUGCCGUGGCAAUGGUUAUAUUGACCUUGAUGCGACUUAUCUUGCUACUGAUCAGGCUAUGCGUGAUCAGAAGUAUGAUAUUCGCGAGGGCAAGAAACCUGGUGCUUUCGGUAACAUUGAGCGAUUCAUUUAUCUUAAGUCGAUAAAUGCUUAUUGCUCUCUUAGCGAUAUUGCGGCCUAUCACGCCGAUGGCGUGAUAGUUGGCUUUUGGCGCGAUCCAUCCAGCGGUGGUGCCAUACCGUUUGACUUCACUAAGUUUGAUAAGACUAAAUGUCCUAUUCAAGCCGUGAUAGUCGUUCCUCGUGCUUAGUAACUAAGGAUGAAAUGCAUGUCUAAGACAGCAUCUUCGCGUAACUCUCUCAGCGCACAAUUGCGCCGAGCCGCGAACACAAGAAUUGAGGUUGAAGGUAACCUCGCACUUUCCAUUGCCAACGAUUUACUGUUGGCCUAUGGUCAGUCGCCAUUUAACUCUGAGGCUGAGUGUAUUUCAUUCAGCCCGAGAUUCGACGGGACCCCGGAUGACUUUAGGAUAAAUUAUCUUAAAGCCGAGAUCAUGUCGAAGUAUGACGACUUCAGCCUAGGUAUUGAUACCGAAGCUGUUGCCUGGGAGAAGUUCCUGGCAGCAGAGGCUGAAUGUGCUUUAACGAACGCUCGUCUCUAUAGGCCUGACUACAGUGAGGAUUUCAAUUUCUCACUGGGCGAGUCAUGUAUACACAUGGCUCGUAGAAAAAUAGCCAAGCUAAUAGGAGAUGUUCCGUCCGUUGAGGGUAUGUUGCGUCACUGCCGAUUUUCUGGCGGUGCUACAACAACGAAUAACCGUUCGUACGGUCAUCCGUCCUUCAAGUUUGCGCUUCCGCAAGCGUGUACGCCUCGGGCUUUGAAGUAUGUUUUAGCUCUCAGAGCUUCUACACAUUUCGAUAUCAGAAUUUCUGAUAUUAGCCCUUUUAAUAAAGCAGUUACUGUACCUAAGAACAGUAAGACAGAUCGUUGUAUUGCUAUCGAACCUGGUUGGAAUAUGUUUUUCCAACUGGGUAUCGGUGGCAUUCUACGCGAUCGGUUGCGUUGCUGGGGUAUCGAUCUGAAUGAUCAGACGAUAAAUCAGCGCCGCGCUCACGAAGGCUCCGUUACUAAUAACUUAGCAACGGUUGAUCUCUCAGCGGCAAGCGAUUCUAUAUCUCUUGCCCUCUGUGAGCUCUUAUUGCCCCCAGGCUGGUUUGAGGUUCUUAUGGACCUCAGAUCACCUAAGGGGCGAUUGCCUGACGGUAGUGUUGUUACCUACGAGAAGAUUUCUUCUAUGGGUAACGGUUACACAUUCGAGCUCGAGUCGCUUAUUUUUGCUUCUCUCGCUCGUUCCGUUUGUGAGAUACUGGACUUAGACUCGUCUGAGGUCACUGUUUACGGAGACGAUAUUAUUUUACCGUCCUGUGCAGUCCCUGCCCUCCGGGAAGUUUUUAAGUAUGUUGGUUUUACGACCAAUACUAAAAAGACUUUUUCCGAGGGGCCGUUCAGAGAGUCGUGCGGCAAGCACUACUAUUCUGGCGUAGAUGUUACUCCCUUUUACAUACGUCACCGUAUAGUGAGUCCUGCCGAUUUAAUACUGGUUUUGAAUAACCUAUAUCGGUGGGCCACAAUUGACGGCGUAUGGGAUCCUAGGGCCCAUUCUGUGUACCUCAAGUAUCGUAAGUUGCUGCCUAAACAGCUGCAACGUAAUACUAUACCUGAUGGUUACGGUGAUGGUGCCCUCGUCGGAUCGGUCCUAAUCAAUCCUUUCGCGAAAAACCGCGGGUGGAUCCGGUACGUACCGGUGAUUACGGACCAUACAAGGGACCGAGAGCGCGCUGAGUUGGGGUCGUAUCUCUACGACCUCUUCUCGCGUUGUCUCUCGGAAAGUAACGAUGGGUUGCCUCUUAGGGGUCCAUCGGGUUGCGAUUCUGCGGAUCUAUUUGCCAUCGAUCAGCUUAUCUGUAGGAGUAAUCCUACGAAGAUAAGCAGGUCUACCGGCAAAUUCGAUAUACAGUAUAUCGCGUGCAGUAGCCGUGUUCUGGCACCCUACGGGGUCUUCCAGGGCACGAAGGUUGCGUCUCUACACGAGGCGUAACCUGGGAGGGCGCCAAUAUGGCGCCUAAUUGUGAAUAAAUUAUCACAAUUACUCUUACGAGUGAGAGGGGGAUCUGCUUUGCCCUCUCUCCUCCCA